AAGUGGUACCUGUGUAAGAGGGCGAGAAUUAAGCAUCGCUUCGAUCUCCGUUAAUGCAGUCGUUAACACUUCGUCGGUUGGUAGCCGAGACAUCCGUAUUUCGCUCAUCGCCUUCUUGACGGAUCGCACUAGUCGUUCCCAGCAGCCUCCAAAGUGUGGUCCACCAGGCCUCAGCAAGCUCUCGCGAUGCACCGACAAAGUUCGUACCGUUGUCGCUGAUGAAUUCCAAAGGUUGCCCACGCCUAGCGAUGAAACGACGUAUAGCUAAGAUGCAUGAUGAUGUGGUCAGGGAGUGCGCAGCCUCUAGAUGGAUGCCCCUGGUGGUGAGGCAGGUGAAGAGAACGCCCCAACGUUUUUCGACUCGUCGACCAACUGCUACGGUUACCGGGCCAAAAUAGUCGACGCCCGUGAAUGAGAACGGCUUCUGAUAAGCAGCAAGACGCUCGGAGGGAAGGUUCCCCAUCUCUGGAGGCUCUGGCUUGGCAUCACGGUUUUUGCAGUGCUGACAUGUCCUACGGAUACGAUUGAAUUCGGCUUGCAGUCUCGGCAUUUGUAUCUUCUCAUAGCCAUGUCACGAGAGCAUGGCAACUUAACAUCGUCAAAACGCCACAGCAAUCCGGAUUCAUAAUGCUUUCCGUUGAAUUUCGAUUCCGCGUUGAGAAUCCCCAACGCUCGCUCAUCAUCCUUUGAACGAAGUGUUUCCAACGGUUUGACGAUACCGAGCGAUUCGAGCGAAAAAAAGUUUUUUACCGCUGCGUCCAGAGCGGCUUCUGCAUCUGCGCCGCAGUUGCAUAUGUGGAUGCCCCGAAGCGGUUAUAGUGGCACACAUAUUUCGGACCGCCAUCCCAAAAUCGAUUAGAGUUUCCAAGCGCUCGAUUCGUGGUGCAGGCAUUUGAUGUAUGCGGUGGAUUAACGAAUGCACAAUUAUCUCCGGGCGACCGUAUAACAUGCGCAGCGUCUCUAUCA